GUGAACGCUGGCGGUAGGCCUAACACAUGCAAGUCGAACGGCAGCACAGUAAGAGCUUGCUCUUACGGGUGGCGAGUGGCGGACGGGUGAGGAAUACAUCGGAAUCUACUUUUUCGUGGGGGAUAACGUAGGGAAACUUACGCUAAUACCGCAUACGACCUACGGGUGAAAGCAGGGGAUCUUCGGACCUUGCGCGAUUGAAUGAGCCGAUGUCGGAUUAGCUAGUUGGCGGGGUAAAGGCCCACCAAGGCGACGAUCCGUAGCUGGUCUGAGAGGAUGAUCAGCCACACUGGAACUGAGACACGGUCCAGACUCCUACGGGAGGCAGCAGUGGGGAAUAUUGGACAAUGGGCGCAAGCCUGAUCCAGCCAUACCGCGUGGGUGAAGAAGGCUUUCGGGUUGUAAAGCCCUUUUGUUGGGAAAGAAAAGCAGCAGGUUAAUACCCCGCUGUUCUGACGGUACCCAAAGAAUAAGCACCGGCUAACUUCGUG
rnacentral:rRNA from 1 species